rnacentral:rRNA from 1 species
UUAAGCAUAUCAUUAAGUGCAGGAAAAGAAACCAAAUGGGAUUCCCUGAGUAACGGCGAGUGAAACGGGAUCAGCUCAGCGUCGAAGCCGGCCGUCGAGAGAUGGUCGUGCAAUGUGACGUUCGGGAAGGCUAUCAUGUCCGCGUGCACCAUCGGUCCAAGUCUUCUGGAAGGAAGUCCCUUGGAGGGUGAUAGGCCCGUUCGGCCGACUGGUGUGUUCACGGUCAAGUCUUCCUUCGAGUCGGGUUGUUCGCAAAUGCAGCCCUAAGCAGGUGGUAAGCUCCAUCUAAGGCUCAAUAUGACCACAAGUCCGAUAGUCAACAAGUACAGUGAUGGAAAGUUGAAAAGUACUCUGAAGAGAGAGUCAAACAGCACGUGAAGCUGCCUACUAUGGGAUUAAGCGCACGUGCGGCACUUGUCGUUCGACAAAUAGGCGCCGGCUGUUGUUUGUUGGUGUUGCCAGUGUGCGGUGCUGAACGCGCUGUAUGCGACAAUACCGAAUGAGUGAUAGCAGCAGAGCGCUUCCCUUUGUUGAGCAUUGACAGGUCGAAGCUUCGUCGCAAUUAUAUCGGUCCUAUUGCCGGUUGUUAUUUGGUGAGCCGGGCUCGGCUGUUGUGCUGUCGCAAGACAGUGUGACAGUGACGCGUCGAACUGGCGCCUACUAUUGGUGGCGGCGUCGAGUCUGGUCAGCAAUGCAAUGCAACUGUGUGUGCGAGAGACUGUGCGACGGCUGGCGCAACGCGGGUUUCGGCUCGCUGUUCGGCCUCUGUGCUUGCACGUGCGGCCCGUCUUGAAACACGGACCAAGGAGUCUAACAUAUCAGCAAGCGAUUGAGAUUUUGUCUAAUCUCAAACGCACAAUGAAAGUGAAGUGUCGUCUGACGGCAUGAGCGGAGAUUUGCGACACUCCGAUUGCAACGCAUCCGCGGGCCGCGCUAUUGGCUAGCUUGUCGACCUCCGGUUGGCACUGCCAAGGCGUGGACCCAGAGCUGAUACGUUGGGACCCGAAAGAUGGUGAACUAUGCCUGGCCAGGAUGAAGCCAGGGGAAACCCUGGUGGAGGUCCGUAGCGAUUCUGACGUGCAAAUCGAUCGUCUGAGCUGGGUAUAGGGGCGAAAGACCAAUCGAACCAUCUAGUAGCUGGUUCCGCCCGAAGUUUCCCUCAGGAUAGCUGGCGCUCGUGUGAUACGGAGUUUCAUCCGGUAAAGCGAAUGACUAGAGGAAAUGGGCUUUUUCCUUGCUCAACCUAUUCUCAAACUUUCAAUGGGUGAGACGUCUCGCUGGCUUCAGUGCAGCGACGACUCUGUGAAUCCCUGAGUGCCCAGUGGGCCACUUUUGGUAAGCAGAACUGGCGAUGCGGGAUGAACCGCAUGUUGAAUUAAGGUGCCCAAGCGAACGCUAAUCAGAUACCAUGAAAGGUGUUGAUUGCUCACGACAGCAGGACGGUGGCCAUGGAAGUCGGCAUCCGCUAAGGAGUGUGUA